GGUAACACUAACUGGAGGACCGAACCGACUAAUGUUGAAAAAUUAGCGGAUGACCUGUGGCUGGGGGUGAAAGGCCAAUCAAACCGGGAGAUAGCUGGUUCUCCCCGAAAGCUAUUUAGGUAGCGCCUCGUGAAUUCAUCUCCGGGGGUAGAGCACUGUUUCGGCUAGGGGGCCAUCCCGGCUUACCAACCCGAUGCAAACUGCGAAUACCGGAGAAUGUUAUCACGGGAGACACACGGCGGGUGCUAACGUCCGUCGUGAAGAGGGAAACAACCCAGACCGCCAGCUAAGGUCCCAAAGUCAUGGUUAAGUGGGAAACGAUGUGGGAAGGCCCAGACAGCCAGGAUGUUGGCUUAGAAGCAGCCAUCAUUUAAAGAAAGCGUAAUAGCUCACUGGUCGAGUCGGCCUGCGCGGAAGAUGUAACGGGGCUAAACCAUGCACCGAAGCUGCGGCAGCGACACUGUGUGUUGUUGGGUAGGGGAGCGUUCUGUAAGCCUGUGAAGGUGUGUCGUGAGGCAUGCUGGAGGUAUCAGAAGUGCGAAUGCUGACAUAAGUAACGAUAAAGCGGGUGAAAAGCCCGCUCGCCGGAAGACCAAGGGUUCCUGUCCAACGUUAAUCGGGGCAGGGUGAGUCGACCCCUAAGGCGAGGCCGAAAGGCGUAGUCGAUGGGAAACGGGUUAAUAUUCCCGUACUUGGUGUUACUGCGAAGGGGGGACGGAGAAGGCUAUGUUGGCCGGGCGACGGUUGUCCCGGUUUAAGCGUGUAGGCUGGUUUUCCAGGCAAAUCCGGAAAAUCAAGGCUGAGGCGUGAUGACGAGGCACUACGGUGCUGAAGCAACAAAUGCCCUGCUUCCAGGAAAAGCCUCUAAGCAUCAGGUAACAUCAAAUCGUACCCCAAACCGACACAGGUGGUCAGGUAGAGAAUACCAAGGCGCUUGAGAGAACUCGGGUGAAGGAACUAGGCAAAAUGGUGCCGUAACUUCGGGAGAAGGCACGCUGACACGUAGGUGAAGUGAUUUACUCAUGGAGCUGAAGUCAGUCGAAGAUACCAGCUGGCUGCAACUGUUUAUUAAAAACACAGCACUGUGCAAACACGAAAGUGGACGUAUACGGUGUGACGCCUGCCCGGUGCCGGAAGGUUAAUUGAUGGGGUCAGCGCAAGCGAAGCUCCUGAUCGAAGCCCCGGUAAACGGCGGCCGUAACUAUAACGGUCCUAAGGUAGCGAAAUUCCUUGUCGGGUAAGUUCCGACCUGCACGAAUGGCGUAAUGAUGGCCAGGCUGUCUCCACCCGAGACUCAGUGAAAUUGAACUCGCUGUGAAGAUGCAGUGUACCCGCGGCAAGACGGAAAGACCCCGUGAACCUUUACUAUAGCUUGACACUGAACAUUGAGCCUUGAUGUGUAGGAUAGGUGGGAGGCUUUGAAGUGUGGACGCCAGUCUGCAUGGAGCCGACCUUGAAAUACCACCCUUUAAUGUUUGAUGUUCUAACGUGGACCCGUUACCCGGGUUGCGGACAGUGUCUGGUGGGUAGUUUGACUGGGGCGGUCUCCUCCUAAAGAGUAACGGAGGAGCACGAAGGUUGGCUAAUCCUGGUCGGACAUCAGGAGGUUAGUGCAAUGGCAUAAGCCAGCUUGACUGCGAGCGUGACGGCGCGAGCAGGUGCGAAAGCAGGUCAUAGUGAUCCGGUGGUUCUGAAUGGAAGGGCCAUCGCUCAACGGAUAAAAGGUACUCCGGGGAUAACAGGCUGAUACCGCCCAAGAGUUCAUAUCGACGGCGGUGUUUGGCACCUCGAUGUCGGCUCAUCACAUCCUGGGGCUGAAGUAGGUCCCAAGGGUAUGGCUGUUCGCCAUUUAAAGUGGUACGCGAGCUGGGUUUAGAACGUCGUGAGACAGUUCGGUCCCUAUCUGCCGUGGGCGCUGGAGAACUGAGGGGGGCUGCUCCUAGUACGAGAGGACCGGAGUGGACGCAUCACUGGUGUUCGGGUUGUCAUGCCAAUGGCACUGCCCGGUAGCUAAAUGCGGAAGAGAUAAGUGCUGAAAGCAUCUAAGCACGAAACUUGCCCCGAG
rnacentral:rRNA from 1 species